rnacentral:lncRNA from 1 species
UUUAUUUUUAUGUAUAUAUACGUAUAAAAAUGAAAUCUUUAUGUAUAUAUGAAUGUAUUGAUGCGUGUAUGAGAAAGAAAAACGUUGGCUACCUUAGAUUGAAUCUGCUUAUUACUUUACUAUUUUUCUUCCUUCGAUUUGAACUGAUUUCUUUGUUUUAAAAUCUGUUGUUUGUAUGGAUGUAGAAUGGCCUGCUUUUCUCUUUUGAUUUUUGUAUUUUUAAGAACCUCCCCUUUUUACAAUUGUUUAGAUCGGCC